CUGCUUCCUGCAGCAGCUCUGGAGUCCUCUUUCCUGAGGGUCUUUAGCUGUACUGUCCUGGAUGCCUCCAUGUGCUGAAUGGAUUUUAAAUGUGUCCUUUUUGUGGUUGUAGUGGCUUUGGGGAAGAGGCAGAAGUCACAUAACGCCCAAUCUGGUGACCGAGAUGGCCGAAGAUGACUCCGGUGGAGGAGGACAUGGCAUCGUGUUUCUUUUUGACUGAAAUUGCAGUGAAUGUGGCCACAGGGCCGGAAGGGAACAGGAGAUGGCUUCCUUCUCGAGGCUGGCAGCCCACACGCACCAGGGAAUCUAAAAAGGCCUCUCCGGAGCACGGCUGGAGGACACGGUGCUGCAGCUGGAGACGCCCAGUGGAUCCGAACGGCACUGGUUACAUAAGCGGGACGGCGCGGCGCGGUGACUCAGGCUGUGUAAUGGGGAAGUUCGGAUCAGUCCUGGGGAAAGUAAAGGACCGCCGCGUGAGUCACCGGGCCACCCUCCCCGGAGCCGCGGAGCAGAGACACCUGCCAUUGAUUCAGAGCCUCCCUUUGUCUUCCUUCCUCCCGCGGCCCUGUUUCCAUGUUCCAUCACGGAGCUCUGCCAGGGCUGGCAGGCAGGGCCGAGGCAACCGAUGGAGACCACAGCUGACAGCAAAACAGCAGCCAACACCGGAGAUGCCUGCUGCGGUCCAGAGGUGCUUGGACUCUUCUUUUUUCUUUUCUUUGUUGAGAUGGAGUCUCACUCUGUAGCCCAGGCUGGCCACGAACUCUGGGCGAUCCUCCUGCCUCAGCUUCCUGCGUGCUGGGAUCACAGGCCUGCGCUGCCAUGCCCACUAGGAUUAGUUUUAAUUUACUGCUGAGAGCAUGAGGGCCCUUGUGGAAGCGAUGCUUUAGUCAAGACUGAUGAAGUGUACCUGGGGUUUUUCCAGGCAAUGCUCUGCCCGCCCUAUGGAAAUUCACACAAACAGUAGUUUUGAAAGCACAAUGCUCCUGGGGCGCAGUGCAUGGCACAGUGACCUCGACCUCAGGAAGUCCCAGCUGAGCCAGGUGAAGAGCCGCCCUCUGAUGGCUCUGGAGUGACUCACAUGUUUAGAUUCCUACUGGCCUGACCUACUUCUGCAGCCCCGCCCCUUUCUGGAUUUACAUAUGGAAAUUAGUCCACCUAUGCAAAUAUCCCUUGCCCACUGCCCCGGUGCCCCAGACCCUCUGUGCCCGUUACGGAGAGGAGGAACCUCGAACCCUGGUUUCUCCCAUGCUGUUCUGUGGUGGCUUCCACAGCGGGUGCCAAGCAGGGCAGUCUCGGUGGCAGCCCCUGUGGUGAUGUCCCUUAGGCCUGGCGGUGGCUACUUGAGUGCAAGUCACUGUCUUUCUGGGGCAAAAUACCACAACUUAAAGGCAGACAGUUUUAGUUUGGUUUGAGUCCAUGGUCGGCUGUUCCAAGGCAGAUCAGCACAGCACAAGGUCCCGCAGAGCAGAGGUGCAAAUCUCAUAGGGUGCAGGAAGCCGAGAGAGAAGGGAGGAGCCGGAGAGAAGAUAGUCUUCCAGGCCACGCCCCCAGGACCACUUCUACCAAUCAAUAGCAAGGCAGGGCUAAAUCGCCAUUAUCCAAUCAGCUUCCAGAAGCCUCGCCUGCCUGAUCAUAGCUUCUGGGACAUCUGGAUAUGAACUCAAGCGGAAUGCUGCCAAGCCUCAGCCACUCCAUUCUGGGAUCACGCCCAGCUACAAAUAUUUUCAGCCAGUCUGGGCCUUGUUUUUCUUUUCCUUAACAGUGUCUUUGAAGCACAAAAAGUUUUA
ensembl:lincRNA